rnacentral:rRNA from 1 species
AACGAACGCUGGCGGCAUGCCUAACACAUGCAAGUCGAACGAGACCUUCGGGCCUAGUGGCGCACGGGUGCGUAACGCGUGGGAACCUGCCCUUAGGUUCGGAAUAACUCCCCGAAAGGGGUGCUAAUACCGGAUAAUGUCUUCGGACCAAAGAUUUAUCGCCUUUGGAUGGGCCCGCGUUGGAUUAGCUAGUUGGUAGGGUAAAAGCCUACCAAGGCGACGAUCCAUAGCUGGUCUGAGAGGAUGAUCAGCCACACUGGGACUGAGACACGGCCCAGACUCCUACGCGAGGCAGCAGUGGGGGAUAUUGGACAAUGGGCGAAAGCCUGAUGCAGCAAUGCCGGGUGAGUGAUGAAGGCCUUAGGGUUGUAAAGCUCUUUUACCCGGGAUGAUAAUGACAGUACCGGGAGAAUAAGCACCGGCUAACUCCGUG